rnacentral:pre_miRNA from 10 species
CCGCCCCCCGUCACCCUCCAGGAGCAGGUGAGCCACUGACUAACGCACAUUGUGCUCUCGGCGACUCCACUGUGCGUGUGACAGCGGCUAACCUGCUCCUCGGACAUCGCUGUGCGGCCGU